UGGAGAUACACUGCAACUUUUGCAAUUGGAAUCCAUUAUUCCAAUAGGCCUUGAGAACUCAACAAUCAAACUACCAUUUCACAAUUUGGGUUUUUGAUUUGUUGGGAUUGUGUAUUUGUUAUUAGUGGUUGGUUUUUUAUUUUUAAUAAUUUGCAAAUGCGAAUUCUUUGUGAUUUUUGAAUUUCCAGAUUGCAGGGUGUAUGGUUGCUCUACUGGUAGUGGCUUCUACUCUGCUAGCAGCAAUGGCCGUUCUACUUUGUGAUUUUGACCAUAUCAAUAAGUUUUAGUACUACACAGGGAAAGCCCAAUUUUGUUCCAUUUAAUGAGGAAUUGAUGAAAUUGACUCGAGGUAUAUCAUAUGUCCUAUGCUUUUAGAAACAGAAUUGGGGGUGUUAUAUUGGCACUUGAAUCCAAAAGAUUAUGAUAAUGAUGAGGAGCUGCGGAAAAUCUAAGAGAGCAGGGGCUAUAAUUAUAUGUUUAUUUGCUCUCUGUUUUGUAAGCCAUCAUGGGAAAGGAGAAGCUUCACAUUAACAUUGUCGUCAUUGGUCAUGUCAACUCUGGCAAGUCGACCACAACUAGGCAUCUUAUCAACAAGCUUGGUGGAAUUGAUAAGCUUGUGAUUGAGAGGUUUGAGAAGGAAGCUGCUGAGAUGAAAAAGAGGUCAUUCAAGUAUGCAUGGGUUCUUGAUAAGCUCAAGGAUGAGCAGGAGCGUAGCAUCACUAUUGAUAUUGUAAUUGUAAUUGAUUAAAUGAAGGAUUGUAAU